GAGAGUUAACAGUACGUGAAAUUGUUAAAAGGGAAACAUUUGAAGUUAGACUUGUUAUUGUUGGUUCAGCUUUCUCUUUUGAAGGUGUAUUCCAAUGGUUAACAGACCAGCAUCAAUUUUUGGGUGUUAGAUAAGGGUCUUGAGAAUGUAGCAAUUUUGGUUGUGUUAUAGCUCUUGACUUUGAUAUAAUGCUUAAGAUUGAGGAACGCAGUGAGCUUUUUAUUAAGUGGAUGCCUUUGGGGAUCUUCUCACUACGGAUGUUGGUGUAAUAGCUUUAAAUGACCCGGGAGUCUAACAUGCUUGCGAGUAUUUGGGUGUUGAAACCCUUAUGCGUAAUGAAAGUGAAUGUAAAUGAGAUCCGUAACAGGUGCAUCAUUGACCAGUCCUGAUUAUUUAUAUGAAGGUACUGAGUAAGAGCAAGUAUGUUGGGACCCGAAAGAUGGUGAACUAUGCCUGAAUAGGGUGAAGCCAGAGGAAACUCUGGUGGAAGCUCGUAGCGGUUCUGACGUGCAAAUCGAUCGUCGAAUUUGGGUAU
rnacentral:rRNA from 1 species